CCUACGGGGGGCUGCAGUGAGGAAUAUUGGUCAAUGGGCGCGAGCCUGAACCAGCCAAGUAGCGUGAAGGAUGACUGCCCUACGGGUUGUAAACUUCUUUUAUAAAGGAAUAAAGUGAGGCACGUGUGCCGUUUUGUAUGUACUUUAUGAAUAAGGAUCGGCUAACUCCGUGCCAGCAGCCGCGGUAAUACGGAGGAUCCGAGCGUUAUCCGGAUUUAUUGGGUUUAAAGGGAGCGUAGAGGGGUUGUUAAGUCAGUUGUGAAAGUUUGCGGCUCAACCGUAAAAUUGCAAUUGAUACUGGCAGUCUUGAGUUCAGUUGAGGUCGGCGUACUUCGUGGUGUAUCGGUGAACUGCUUAGAUCUCACG
rnacentral:rRNA from 1 species